GGUAUCCCUGUUUUAUGCAGAUGAAGCAGAAGACUCUGUUAACUGAGAUUCCACUUUUCCUGAUAUUUAUUGUUGCCCAUCCACAACAGCAGAUCUGCCGUGGACGGUCCCAAGCCCGGCUGAGAAAGGAGGAGAGCCGGCAACUCCAUCCCUGAAAACCCAGAGCUACAGAAACACCAACAGGUGAUCCAAGGCCUCAUCGCCAGGAGAGGAAGGGUCUUCGAAGGUGGACUAUGUCUGAGGACAACUUGAAAGACUGGCACGACACUGAGGACUCUGGCGAACUGCUGACAGCGACCUGUGCCUGGUAGGGGGGAUGGACGUCAGUGACGAUGGAAAUGGUUACAUCCCGACACGCGGGACAGAAGCAAGGUCGCAUUGUGUACUCCAGGGACCAGCUAAUGCCGGCCGGUUUAGCGAGCAGAGCGGCGGACACCCCUGCUGAAAUCCGGAGGAAAACACACAGAGGAUGCAGAGGGGGAUCACAAAGCUGAGGAAAGAGGACCGGGUCGAGACAACAGAGACUUAUGGAGAAGAGGAGUUCGGUGGGUAAUACCGUUCCGGCUGACCGGAAGUGCACUGAGAGCGGUGGAAAACUCUGCUCCGAGGAUCGUCACCUUGGCGUGGUGUGAGGCUUGUAGGUUCCUGAGAUCCCGAGGGAUGCUGUCUGGAGCUUGGCUCCUGGUAGGAUCUCCCAUGGUGGCAAGGUCAAGGAGCAGGUUCUGGACAAAGAACAAACAAACCAAAACUUCAGUGGAGCUGGUAGAAGGUGGUAACACAUCACAACAGCAGUGUAUACAGAAGAAAGCUUCCCACCCUCCUGGCUUCACCUAUCACCUUCCAGCUAUCCCCCUUCCCCACCUCCCACCUUUUUAUUCUGUCUUCUUCCCUCUUCCUUUUCAGUUCUGAUGUAGGG